rnacentral:lncRNA from 1 species
AAUAGUUGGUGGACGAGAAGCAAUACACGACGAUGAUGAAGAAGAAAAGAGUGAUGAAAAUAGCUUGAAUUAGUAAUAUUAUAAUAAUGAUUGGAUAUUUUAAUUUGAAUUUAAAUUUAUUAAUAUUAAUUUUGGUAUUAUUAUUAUAUUAUAUUUAAAUUUUUAUAUUAAUAAAAUUUUAAUUUUUAAUAUUAAUUUAAUAUAUGUAUGUCUA